GGACUACACGGGUUUCUAAUCCCGUUUGCUCCCCUGGCUUUCGCACAUCAGCGUCAGAAAUCAGCCAGUGCUCCGCUUUCGCCGCCGGCGUUCCUCCCGAUAUCAACGCAUUUCACCGCUCCACCGGGAAUUCCAAGCACCCCUCUGAUCCUCAAGCAACGCAGUAUCGGGCGCAGUUCCUCGGUUAGGCCGAGGGAUUUCACACCCGACUUACGCCGCCGCCUACGUGCGCUUUAUGCCCAGUGAUUCCGAACAACGCUCGCCACCUUCGUCUUACCGCGGCUGCUGGCAC
rnacentral:rRNA from 2 species